GCUGACAUGUCCCGGCCAAUCUCCAGCAGACCCUCCCUCCCAGACCCUCCUACUUCCUGGACAGCAUCCAUGGGAGGGUCUGGGAGACAUGGAUGUUGAAACAUGGAUGCUGUCCAGGAAGUAGGAGGGCCUGGGAGGGAGGGUCUGAUGGAGAUUGGCCGGGACGUGUCAG